AUCCAGAGAACUUAGCAGAGAUGGCUUUUGGGUGCCUUCGGGAACUCUGAGACAGGUGCUGCAUGGCUGUCGUCAGCUCGUGUUGUGAAAUGUUGGGUUAAGUCCCGNAACGAGCGCAACCCUUAUCCUUUGUUGCCAGCGGUUCGGCCGGGAACUCAAAGGAGACUGCCGGUGAUAAACCGGAGGAAGGUGGGGAUGACGUCAAGUCAUCAUGGCCCUUACGGCCAGGGCUACACACGUGCUACAAUGGCGCAUACAAAGAGAAGCGACCUCGCGAGAGCAAGCGGACCUCAUAAAGUGCGUCGUAGUCCGGAUUGGAGUCUGCAACUCGACUCCAUGAAGUCGGAAUCGCUAGUAAUCGUAGAUCAGAAUGCUACGGUGAAUACGUUCCCGGGCCUUGUACACACCGCCCGUCACACCAUGGGAGUGGGUUGCAAAAGAAGUAGGUAGCUUAACCUUCGGGAGGGCGCUUACCACUUUGUGAUUCAUGACUGGGGUGAAGUCGUAACAAGGUAGGCGUAGCGAG
rnacentral:rRNA from 1 species